GGACCUGACUGCUAUCGGAUUGAUACUAAGCCAUGCGAGUCUUUGCAGUAAUGCAAGGCGGACUGCUCAGUAACACGUAGUCAACUUAACCUAUGGAUGGGUAUAACCUCGGGAAACUGAGAAUAAUUCCCAAUAGAUCAUUUAUCCUGGAAUGGUUGAUGAUUGAAAUGAUUCGUCGCCAUAGGAUAGGACUGCGGCCUAUCAGCUUGUUGGUGAGGUAAAGGCCCACCAAGGCUAUUACAGGUACGGGCUCUGAGAGGAGAAGCCCGGAGAUGGGUACUGAGACACGGACCCUAGGCCCUAUGGGGCGCAGCAGGCGAGAAAACUUUGCGAAUGUGCGAAAGCUACGACGAAGGUUAAUCCGAGUGAUUUCUGCUAAAGGAAUCUUUUGCCGGUCCUAAAAACGACUGGUGAAUAAGGGGUGGGCGAAGUUCUGGUGUCAGCG
rnacentral:rRNA from 1 species